AUACUCUUUCUUCUUUCUCUCUCUACAAAAACAGUGCUGUGGGUGGUGGUCGCCCGCCGAGUCUGGCUGAGCUAGGGUGUCGAUUCAGCGGCGGCGGUGGGUGGUUGUUCAGGAAGAGGAAGAAGAAGAUUGAAAUUAAAGGGUGUGUUGUAAUGGGUUUUUGGCGUCAGAUUAUUUUUCCGGUACGGCGUGUUUGGCUCGCCGUCUAUGGCCGUCUUAAAGCUCGCAAAAAUGAUGAAGGACUUGUGAAACUUUACGACGAUGUAGAAACGUGUGGCUAUCAAGAUGUAAAGGUUAUGUGGGAAAUAUUGAAGCAAUCAGAAGCUGAGUUGAUCAAUCAUCACCACCAGACAAGGCGUAAACAUAAGCCGUUUUGGAAGGAUUUUUUGUGGUCUAACUCUAACUCUGACUCAACUACUAGUACAACUAAAAUGAUGCCUUUUCCGACUUUUAGCCCCAUUUCGUAGGGUGAUAAGUAUAAGGGUCUCUAGUCUUAAAUUUCCUCGAACAAUAUAAAAAUAUAGUGUAAAUAGAAAUAAUAAUUGCAUCGAAAAGGUUUCUAAACAAAGAAAAAAAAGCUCAAAUUAAUACUUGGGCCAAUCAUCUUCACUUUUGUUAAAAGGUUCUUUUUUCUUCCUUGUGUUGGAGUUUUCAAUAUUUGCUUCAAAGGACGAUCUUACAUGAGCCAAGAUAGUGAAAUAUUGGAGUUAGAGAUAACCACGGGAUAGAAUCAAAGAUCAUUGUUUCUGUUA